UACGUAGGGGGCAAGCGUUGUCCGGAUUUAUUGGGCGUAAAGAGCGUGUAGGCGGCCAGAUAGGUCCGUUGUGAAAACUCGAGGCUCAACCUCGAGACGUCGGUUGAAACCACCUGGCUAGAGUCCGGAAGAGGAGUGUGGAAUUCCCGGUGUAGCGGUGAAAUGCGCAGAUAUCGGGAAGAACACCCGUGGCGAAGGCGGCACUCUGGGACGGUACUGACGCUGAGACGCGAAAGCGUGGGGAGCGAACAGG
rnacentral:rRNA from 1 species